GUUUAUGGGUUCUGUUACAUUCAAUCUCAGUGAGAGUGGAAGACGGGGAAAGUCAAAUGGCGUUUUGUGGAUUUAUGUUCGUAAUAUGUUCGAUGAACAUGUUUACGAGAUUGAGCGUUUGAUUCUGAUUGUUUUGUGGAUUUACAACAUGAAACAUUGAGGUUUGGGGUUUGAGAAGCUAGGGUUUAUGGUUUCGGUAAGUGUUUUUGAUCUAUAAUCUAAUCCAUGUAUGUUUUUCAUGUGAUUAGAGAGAUUGUUUUUUGUUUUGGCUGACUCUUUUUGGAGUGAAGAUUUUCAUUCUUACCCCGCUCUUCAGAAUCUCUUCUCAAAACCAUAGAUAUCACAACAUGUUUCAAAUGUUGUUACGUUCAUUAUUGGGUAGAAGCACACUGGAAUCUUUCCGCUGUCUUAGACGCACAAGGAUAUAAAUGACAACUCUUUAGGCCCUGAUGGUGAUCUUCGAGUCUAUCUAGAAAGUGUGGCCGCCAGUGAAAAUGUCAAAACAUUUGGAAUUCAAGGAAGAAUAGUAAACAUUACAGGAACAGAUGACUGUGUCUAGGUCCUCUCUACCUUCGGUCUUUAGUAGAGGUGGAAAAUGGCUCGAUUGGAUGAGUUAGGUGGAUUUGUUCACUCGACGCUCAUACCGCGUUGGGGGUAGCGAUGCAAACCGGGCAAGCAUCAAUGUCACCGAAGAUGACAACUCUAAGCAAGACCUUAAUCUUAAAUGCGGCACACCUUAGACCAAGUGGUAGUGGUUCAAGUAGUGAUGAUGAUCCGUAAGAGGAUGAUGAUGAUGAUGGUGUAAGUGAUGAAGAGGGUGUGAAGAAGGUAAAAUAUGUGGGUGAAAUAGAAGGAGAGAUAAGAGAUGAAGUGAUUGCUUGGAAUGAUGAUGAAGAAAAUAGCGAGGUUGUGAAAGGUCCGAUUUGGCCGAAGAAUGCGUCUCAUGGGCUGGUCGGGUGGGCUGUUGGGUCAGAAUGAGCCUACUUAUAAAUGGUUAUUUUGGUUCGGAUCAGGACAAGUUGGGGUAAAAAUUGUUUCGUGUCAGAAUAGGCCAAUUUAAAAGUAGUUAUUUUGGCUUGAGACA